UACAGAGGGUGCAAGCGUUGUUCGGAAUUAUUGGGCGUAAAGGGCGCGUAGGCGGUGCGGUAAGUCUGUAGUGAAAUCUCUGGGCUCAACUCAGAGUCUGCUGCAGAAACUGCCGUGCUUGAGUGUGGAAGAGGAGAGUGGAAUUCCUGGUGUAGCGGUGAAAUGCGCAGAUAUCAGGAGGAACACCCGUGGCGAAAGCGGCUCUCUGGGACGGUACUGACGCUGAGACGCGAAAGCGUGGGGAGCAAACAGG
rnacentral:rRNA from 1 species